GAUGAACGCUGGCGGCGUGCCUAAUACAUGCAAGUCGAACGAAGCACUUUUGUGCUUAGUGGCGAACGGGUGAGUAAAAGAUAAGUAACCUACCCUUAACAGGGGGAUAACGAUCGGAAACGAACGCUAAGACCGCAUAGGUAAUAGAACUGCAUGGUUCUAUUAUUAAAUAUCCUACGGGAUAGGUAAAGGAUGGACUUAUCACGCAUUAGCUAGUUGGAGAGGUAACGGCUCCCCAAGGCGACGAUGCGUAGCCGGCCUGAGAGGGCGGACGGCCACACUGGGACUGAGACACGGCCCAG
rnacentral:rRNA from 1 species